ACAAGAUGUUUCAUGAAAAUGAUACACAAGUAUGAUGAAAUACAAGUUAUUUCUGAAUUUUAUGAUGACCAAAAAUGCUAUCAAGCCUUAGGUAUGAGUAUGUCAAACCAAAUGAAAGGAUAAUAUAAUAACAGGGGCGUUUCCUGUGGAAAGGGACACUUAGAAAUAACGAAAAUAACAUUUCGUUAGCAACCAACCAUGGUUCCGUAUUUCAGGGAUGGUUAUCCUCUGCAUUUAUCAUCACAAGAUGUUUCAUGAAAAUGAUACACAAGUAUGAUGAAAUACAAGUUAUUUCUGAAUUUUAUGAUGACCAAAAAUGCUAUGGAGCCUUAGGUAUGAGUAUGUCAAACCAAAUGAAAGGAUAAUAUAAUAACAGGGGCGUUUCCUGUGGAAAGGGACACUUAGAAAUAACGAAAAUACCAUUUCAUUAGCAACCAAACAAUUCUAAAAUUUUCUCGAAAUAAUUGUACUACCAGGAAAGAUUGCAUGCGAAUUUUUAACUUCAGAAAUGUUCCCAUUUGUGAGAUAGAAAAAAGAUAAAAUUGACUGUCACUAGUGUCAAAACUUAGUUUACUGUGUAGUUCACAAAUCACAACUCAGGCAAUUGUGUCUUUGUUGUACCUCAUGGAGUACAGUAGUGCAUUUAUUUUGAUAGUUUUUUAAAACUUAUGCUUGUGUUGUUCAAAUGGUACAUAUUUUUAAAAAGAUGCCCAUUUCGACAUUGCCUAACUCUUAGCAAUGUAGACUACAGGCAGAUAAGAUACCCAUAUUGAAGCUGUCCUAUAAUGCACUAUUUUUUGUUGACCUGAUGACUAGACACAUACCUUCUAGAAAUCUAGGUCAUUUUAAAGAAGCUAUAGUGCGCCAAAGAGUUAUAUCAGUAGCCUAAACCAUAGUUGCCAAGAACUGGGGUCGUUCGGGUCACAGAACAGGGUCAGAAGCAAAAUAAUGAUUUCUGACAAACACAAUAUAACUGCAAAACUAGAAUGAUUAAAUCAGAAAUACGACAUACCAAGUUAAUAAUGAGAUAAACAAAUGCACACCACCAC
rnacentral:lncRNA from 1 species